rnacentral:ncRNA from 1 species
GUACGCAGGUGUCGGCGGAUUGCCGGUGAAAAGGGAAGCAGGUGUGAAUCCUGCACAAGGCCGUUGCUGUGUAGGCUUAGUUUUUCCUCGGUUGCCAUUGGGGAAACCCGAGAAGGUGAGGAAGAGCGGUGAGGCCGCAGUCAGAAGACCUGCCUGUGUAU